rnacentral:lncRNA from 1 species
AAGUGAUUAAGUCAUGAAGACUGCCUUCAUAAAUGGGAUAAUGUAAAGGAGAUUAAAAGGAGGCUGUUUGCUCCCUUCUACCAUGUGAGAAUGCAGCAAGAGGUACCAUCUCUGUGCAAUGAGCCCUUACCAGACAUUGAACCUGCUGGCACUUUAUCUUGGACUUCCCAGCCUCCAGAACUAGUCUCACUCUGUCGCCCAGGCUGGAGUACAGUGGUGUGAUCUCAGCUCACUGCAUCCUCCUCCUCCCAGUUUCAAGCGAUUCUUGUGCCUCAGCCUCCUGGGUAGCUGGAAUUACAGGAUCGAGGCUAUCAAGCUACAGAUGAUCUUACAAAUGGAACCCCAAAUGAGCUCAACUAACAACUACCAAGGACCCCUGGACCAACCCGCUGGCCCUUUCAAUGGCCUAAAGAGUUCCCCUCUGGAGGACACUACAACUGCAGGGUCCUUUCUUUGCCCCUAUCCAGCAGGAAGUAGCUAGAGUGGUCAUCACCCAAUUCCCAACAGCAGUUGGGGUGUCUUGUUAAGUGGGGAGAUUGAGAGGUGAAGCCAGCUGGGCUUCUGGGUUGGGUGGGGACUUGGAGAACUUUUCUGUCUAGCUAGAGGAUUGUAAACACACCAAUCAGUGCUAUGUGUCUAGCUAGAGGUUUGUAAAUGCACCAAUCAGCACUCUGUAAAAACGGACCAAUCAGCACUCUGUAAAAUGGACCAAUCAGUAGGAUGCGGGCAGGGCCAAAUAAGGGAAUAAAAGCUGGCCACCUGAGUCAGCAGUGGCAACCCACUCGGGUCCCCUUCCAUGCUGUGGAAGCUUUGUUCUUUCACUCUUCACAAUAAAUCUUGCUGCUGCUCACUCUUUGGGUCCACACCACCUUUAUGAGCUGCAACACUCACUGCGAAGGUCUUCAGCUUCACUCCUGAAGUCAGCGAGACCACGAACCCAUGGGGAGGAACAAUCGACUUCAGACAUGCCACCUUUAAGAGCUGUAACACUCACUGCGAAGGUCUGUGGCUUCACUCCUGAAGUCAGCAAGACCACGAACCCACUGGAAGGAAGAAAUUUCGGACACAUCUGAACAUCUGAAUGAACAAACUCUGGACACGCCAUCUUUAAGAACUGUAACACUCACUGUGAGGGUUCAUGGGUUCAUUCUUGAAGUCAGCAAGACCAAGAACCCACCAGAAGGAACCAAUUCCGGACACAGACUCACUGCAACCUCCACCUCCUGGAUUCAAGUGAUUCUCCUGCCUCAGCCUCCGGAGUAGCUGUGCCUACAGGCACAAGCCACCACACACGGCUAAUUUUUUGUAUUUUUAGUAGAGAUGGGGUUUCACCAUGUUGCUCAGGCUGGUCUCCAACUCCUGAGCUCAAGUGAUCCACCUGUCUCGGCCUCCCAAAGUGUUGGGAUACAUGUGUGAGCCACUGUGCCCGGCCUCCUCUGGAUUAGUUCUUACAGGAAUAGAUUAGUUCUUGCUCGAGCAAGUUGUUAUAAAAGUGAGGUUGCCUCUAGUGUUUUGCAUCCUCACAUAUGUCUGCUUACCUCUUGACCUCUCUCUGUGUUAUGACCCAGCACAAAAGCCCUUACCAGAAGCCAAGCAGAUGCUGAUGCCACACCCCUUGGACUUCUCAGUCUACAGAGCCAUGAAACGAAUAAACCUCUCUUUAUAAAUUAUCCAGCUUCAGGUAUUCUGUUAUAGCAACACAAAAUGGACGAAGACAACUAC